GAUGAACGCUGGCGGCGUGCUUAACACAUGCAAGUCGAACGGGAUCCAGGGAGUGCUUGCACUAUUUGGUCAGAGUGGCGAACGGGCUAGUCACACGUUCGUAACCUCUCCUUUUCUUUGGUAUAAGCUCCUGAAAGUGUGUUCAAUACCUUAUGUUCUGUCUGCCUCGCAUGGGCGGGUUGGGUUAGAUUUGUUUCGGUAAGGGUUGGGCCCGCGGUCUAUCAGCUUGUUGGUGGGGUGAUGGCUUACCAAGACUUUGGGGCGUAGCCUGCCUGGGAGGAUGGUCGGGUAAGUUGGAAUUGGGAUGAGGCCCGGACUCGAGCGGUAGGCAGCAGUGGAGUAUAUAAUACAGUAGGCGGAAGGCUGGUGCAGCGACGCCGCGUGGCGGAUGAAGGCAUGCGGUUUGUAAACCUCUUUUAUCACGGAAGAAGUGAGAGUGACGGUACGUGCAGAAGAAGCGCCGGCUAACUACGUG
rnacentral:rRNA from 1 species